AUGAUGAUGAUGGCGCUUGAUCUCCCGCGGGAGACGAUCGCAUCAAUGAACAAAAUCUGCCGCAGCCUUCUUAUGGUGCGCGGAGGCAAACUCAUCCGGCGGCCGUUGUGCCGUCGCAUGGGAGGCCGGCCGUGUGCUCCCCCGAAUGGGCGGGCGGCCUUGGUCUUCCAAACCCUAAAAUGGAUGAACACCGCCAUGCAGGCAAGGUGGCCUUGGUUGCAAAGAUCGGACACCUCAUGCCCAUGGGCUGAAUUCGAAAUCCCAGUGCCACGAGCAUCAAGGCAAAUCUUCAACGCAGCAGCUCACUGGAUGAUAGGCGACGGUCAAACAUCACUCUUUUGGGAGGACAGAUGGCUUGAAGGCUAUAGGAUUCCGGAGCUCGCACCGCCUAUUUACGAGCGCGCCAGGAAAGGUCUAAGAACCACAUGCACGUCUCUCAGGCAUUGCAGGAUGAUCGUUGGGCUGCUCAAGUGGGCCUGGAGUUGA
rnacentral:rRNA from 1 species